rnacentral:rRNA from 1 species
CUUGGUCAGGUUGAAGUUCAGGUAACACUGAAUGGAGGACCGAACCGACUUACGUUGAAAAGUGAGCGGAUGAACUGAGGGUAGCGGAGAAAUUCCAAUCGAACCUGGAGAUAGCUGGUUCUCUCCGAAAUAGCUUUAGGGCUAGCCUCAAGUGAUGAUUAUUGGAGGUAGAGCACUGUUUGGACGAGGGGCCCCUCUCGGGUUACCGAAUUCAGACAAACUCCGAAUGCCAAUUAAUUUAACUUGGGAGUCAGAACAUGGGUGAUAAGGUCCGUGUUCGAAAGGGAAACAGCCCAGACCACCAGCUAAGGUCCCAAAAUAUAUGUUAAGUGGAAAAGGAUGUGGCGUUGCCCAGACAACUAGGAUGUUGGCUUAGAAGCAGCCAUCAUUUAAAGAGUGCGUAAUAGCUCACUAGUCGAGUGACACUGCGCCGAAAAUGUACCGGGGCUAAACAUAUUACCGAAGCUG